CCUACGGGUGUCAGCAGUGGGGAAUAUUGGACAAUGGGCGAAAGCCUGAUCCAGCCAUACCGCGUGUGUGAAGAAGGCCUUCGGGUUGUAAAGCACUUUCAGUGGGGAAGAAAGCCUUGGGGCUAAUACCCUCGAGGAAGGACAUCACCCACAGAAGAAGCACCGGCUAACUCCGUGCCAGCAGCCGCGGUAAUACGGAGGGUGCGAGCGUUAAUCGGAAUUACUGGGCGUAAAGCGCGCGUAGGCGGUCUGAUAAGCCGGUUGUGAAAGCCCCGGGCUCAACCUGGGAACGGCAUCCGGAACUGUCAGGCUAGAGUGCAGGAGAGGAAGGUAGAAUUCCCGGUGUAGCGGUGAAAUGCGUAGAGAUCGGGAGGAAUACCAGUGGCGAAGGCGGCCUUCUGGACUGACACUGACGCUGAGGUGCGAAAGCGUGGGUAGCAAACAGGAUUAGAUACCCGAGUAGUC
rnacentral:rRNA from 1 species